rnacentral:rRNA from 1 species
UACGAAGGGUGCUAGCGUUGUUCGGAAUCACUGGGCGUAAAGGCGCGUAGGCGGCCUUGCAAGUCGGUUGGUGAAAGCCCGGGGCUCAACCCCGGAGGUGCGGCCGAGACUGCAGGGCUGGAGGCCGGAAGAGGAGGGUGGAAUACCCAGUGUAGAGGUGAAAUUCGUAGAUAUUGGGUGGAACACCGGUGGCGAAAGCGGCUCUCUGGUCCGGACCUGACGCUGAGGCGCGAAAGCGUGGGGAGCAAACAGG